UACAGAGGCCCCAAGCGUUACUGAGAAUCACUGGGUUUAAAGGGUGCGUAGGUGGCGCGUUAAGUCCGUUGUGAAAUCCCUUGGCUCAACCAAGGAAUGGCUUCGGAUACUGGCGUGCUUGAGGCCGGUAAGGGUCACUGGAACUGACGGUGGAGCGGUGAAAUGCGCAGAUAUCAGGAGGAACACCGGUGGCGAAGGCGGGUCUCUGGGCCGAUACUGACGCUGAGGAGCGAAAGCGUGGGGAGCGAACAGG
rnacentral:rRNA from 1 species